GGAUUGUGGCUCAGCGGUAGAGCACUCACCUAGUACAGGAGCGACUGGGUUCGAUUCUCAGCACCA
rnacentral:tRNA from 1 species